rnacentral:rRNA from 1 species
UACGAGAGGUGCAAACGUUAUUCGGAAUCAUUGGGCGUAAAGGGUGUGUAGACGGCAUAUUAAGUCAAUUGUUAAAUCCUCCGGCCUAACCGGAGAUGUGCGAUAGAUACUGAUGUGCUAGAGGGUGGAAGAGAGAAGUGGAAUUCUCGGAGUAGCGGUAAAAUGCGUGGAUCUCGAGAGGAACACCAAUGGCGAAGGCAACUUCUUGGGCCACUCCUGACGUUGAGACACGAAAGUGUGGGGAGCAAACAGG